AUUACCGCGAAGUGAUUGAUACCAUGCUUCCAAGAAAAGCCUCUAAGCUUCAGUUACAAGGAGACCGUACCGCAAACCGACACAGGUGGGCAGGAUGAAAAUUCUAAGGCGCUUGAGAGAACUCAGGAGAAGGAACUCGGCAAAUUUGCACCGUAACUUCGGGAAAAGGUGCGCCCUGAUAGGUUGUAGCCCCUCGCGGGUGAAGGCUGAAAGGGUUGCAGUGAAAUGGUGGCUGCGACUGUUUAAUAAAAACACAGCACUCUGCAAACACGAAAGUGGACGUAUAGGGUGUGACGCCUGCCCGGUGCCGGAAGGUUAAGUGAUGGGGUGCAAGCUCUUGAUCGAAGCCCCGGUAAACGGCGGCCGUAACAAUAACGGUCCUAAGGUAGCGAAAUUCCUUGUCGGGUAAGUUCCGACCUGCACGAAUGGCGUAACGAUGGCCACACUGUCUCCUCCUGAGACUCAGCGAAGUUGAAGUGGUUGUGAAGAUGCAAUCUCCCCGCGGUUAGACGGAAAGACCCCAUGAACCUUUACUGUAGCUUUGCAUUGGACUUUGAACCGACUUGUGUAGGAUAGGUGGGAGGCUGUGAAGCCGGGACGCUAGUUCUGGUGGAGCCAACCUUGAAAUACCACCCUGGUUUGUUUGAGGUUCUAACCACGGCCCGUGAAUCCGGGUCUGGGACCGUGCAUGGUAGGCAGUUUGACUGGGGCGGUCUCCUCCUAAAGUGUAACGGAGGAGUACGAAGGUACGCUAGGUACGGUCGGACAUCGUGCUAAUAGUGCAAUGGCAAAAGCGUGCUUGACUGCGAGACCCACACGUCGAGCAGGUACGAAAGUAGGUCAUAGUGAUCCGGUGGUUCUGUAUGGAAGGGCCAUCGCUCAACGGAUAAAAGGUACUCUGGGGAUAACAGGCUAAUACCGCCCAAGAGUUCAUAUCGACGGCGGUGUUUGGCACCUCGAUGUCGGCUCAUCACAUCCUGGGGCUGUAGUCGGUCCCAAGGGUAUGGCUGUUCGCCAUUUAAAGUGGUACGUGAGCUGGGUUUAAAACGUCGUGAGACAGUUUGGUCCCUAUCUGCCGUGGGCGCUGGAAAUUUGAAGGGGGCUGCUCCUAGUACGAGAGGACCGGAGUGGACGAACCUCUGGUGUACCGGUUAUGACGCCAGUCGUAUUGCCGGGUAGCUAAGUUCGGAAGAGAUAAACGCUGAAAGCAUCUAAGCGUGAAACUCGCCUUAAGAUGAGAUUUCCCUGGGGACUUGAUCCCCCUGAAGGGUCGUGGUAGACCACCACGUUGAUAGGCUGGGUGUGGAAGCGCAGCAAUGCGUUAUGCUAACCAGUACUAAUUGCCCGUGAGGCUUGGU
rnacentral:rRNA from 1 species